rnacentral:lncRNA from 1 species
AUUCAAAGGACACGAGGAUGAAUUAAAGGAUGACAAUCCAUGAAUUACACAGUAAACAAAUACUAUAUGUAUGAGACCGAUUCACUGUCACAAACCUGGAGAAGAAAACCCUUUUGAGGUUUAAAGCUGAGAGGGAGAUAAAAACUUGGUUGUACUACUUCUGGGAAAUGCUGAAGUUAUCCACGUGAUUUUCCAGUCACUGAUUAUUUUAGCAAAGU